rnacentral:rRNA from 2 species
GAUUGACCUCGGAUCAGGUAGGGAUACCCGCUGAACU